rnacentral:rRNA from 1 species
GACGAACGCUGGCGGCGUGCUUAACACAUGCAAGUCGAACGGGCCCGCCCCUGUUUUUGGGGGUGGGUUGAGUGGCGAACGGGUGAGUAUCACGUGAGUAACCUGCCCCCUGCUCCUGGAUAACUGCUUGAAAGGGCGGCUAAUACGGGGUGUGCCGGCUGGCCCGCAUGGGCCUGGUCGGGAUAGUUUCAUCUUCGGGUGUUUCGGUGGGGGAUGGGCUCGCGGCCUAUCAGCUUGUUGGUGGGGUGAUGGCCCACCAAGGCGGUGACGGGUAGCCGGCCUGAGAGGGUGGGCGGCCACACUGGGACUGAGACACGGCCCAGACUCCUGCGGGAGGCAGCAGUGGGGGGUAUUGCACAAUGGGCGGAAGCCUGAUGCAGCGACGUCGCGUGAGGGAUGGAGGCCUUCGGGUUGUGAACCUCUUUCUCCGGUGGUGAAGGCCCUGUCCGUUGCGGCGGGGUUGACGGUAGCCGGGGAUGAAGCGCCGGCUAACUACGUG